GUCUGCAGAGAAGACAAGGAGCUCUGUGUGCUGGCUCACCUGGGAGUGCUCACCUGUUGGGAGAGCUCUUCAUCUCCCACACAGAACCAGACCUGCCAAGUUGUGGGGAGAGAUGCUAUCUGCCAGAUCACUCUCUCCUGAAGAUGAUGCCAGGCAAGUGAAAUCGGCACCUUGCUCUGAGCUAGGCCACUCUGGCACUUUCCCUAGAGAUAACUAUGCCAGCUUACCUACGAGGACACAAGCCCAACUCCAGAGAUGCCCCUGCACGGUGCUCGCCACUGGGUCUGGGACCAGUGAGCACCUCCUUCCAGUUCAAGGUGGAAGCAGAAAGUCGAGUCCCGGGACGACAUUACAUCGACAGCGUGCUCCCCUCCUAGCGUGUCUGUGUAUAUGGAAAUUAUUAUUGAGAAAGCUCAGCCAAGUGUCUCCUUUCUCAGCAGCUCAAUUCUAAUGCCUCCAAAGCACAAAACCAGAGUGGCUGGAAUGGAGCAGCAACUUGGUUUGAAUAAAUCAUUUCAAUUCCUGGAGGGUUAUUUUCCUUAUAAAGCAGGGGUCAUGUCCCCCAAAGAUUGGUGCAAAGUCUCUUGAAUUCUUGGAAAAUGUUCAUGGGAAACGCAAACAAGGAUGUAUCUGUGAGCCAGCCCUGGUGACCUAGUGGUUAAGUUCGGC
rnacentral:lncRNA from 1 species